rnacentral:rRNA from 1 species
AUUCCAGCUCCAAUAGCGUAUAUUAAAGUUGUUGCGGUUAAAAAGCUCGUAGUUGGAUUUCUGCUGAGGACGACUGGUCCGCCCCCUGGGUGAGCAUCUGGUUCGGCCUGGGCAUCUUCUUGGGGAACGUAUCUGCACUUGAUUGUGUGGUGCGGUAUCCAGGACUUUUACUUUGAGGAAAUUAGAGUGUUUCAAGCAGGCCCGCGCCUUGAAUACAUUAGCAUGGAAUAAUAAGAUAGGAUCUUGAUACUAUUUUGUUGGUUUGCGUGUCGAGAUAAUGAUGAAUAGGGACAGUUGGGGGGUAUUUGUAUUCCAUAGUCAGAGGUGAAAUUCUUGGAUUUAUGGAAGACAAACUAAUGCGAAAGCAUCUACCAAGGAUGUUUUCAUUG